AUGGCGGUGGGCGUACAAGACAGCGACUCCGAUACCGCAUCCACCGAUUCCGAUUACGAAGACGACUACGAAUUCCUCAAGCGGCCCGCGUCACGCCAGGCGGUGGAAGGCCUGCCGGAGAUGAUGCUCAGCGAAGAGGAGGCCGCCUGCGGCUGCGCGGUGUGCAAGGAUGUCUUCGCGUCGGAGCAGCGCGUUGUCUUUCUCCCGUGCAAGCACUACUUCCAUGGCGACUGCAUCCUGCCAUGGCUCGCCAUGAGGAGCACAUGCCCUGUGUGCCGGUAUCAACUCCCCACCGAUGAUACUGGGUCUGGGCAGCGGCAGGCACAUCAACUGAGGGUUCUUUUACCAGUGGAUCGUCAGGGUGCAUCUCAGCAGAGAGGAGGCGGAGCCACCACAGGAAGCGACUGA
rnacentral:rRNA from 1 species